UAUGACACUUAUGUUCUUCUGUAGUGUUGCAGAGUCACUCAGCUCUCGUUUUAUACAGAUUGAGAGGCUGCGCACUGUUAGCAUGUAAUGCAAACAUUUAAUUUAGUAUUUUUAGGAGCGGAGGGUUCAGACAGGAGCACAGCGUUUGUGCUUUUGUUGUCUUCUGCAGACAACAGCUCCAUCUUCCUCCAGACAUCCAUCAGCAGCAGGUGGAGUUUAGAGGGAGACAGCUGAGGCUGAUGAAGAGGAGGGAGAGACAGGAGAGGACACUUCCAACCAUCCAUGUGCUGCUUGCAGCAUCAUUCUAAGCAUACUGUGGACAGUGUUUUGACAUUGUUUGGAUUUUUGCAAUAAUAUUAACAUACAUUUGAAUAAAUUAAGCAUAUUUGUCCAAUGUUGGUACAAGAAUUAAAAACUUUUUUAAGACACGUGUAGAAUACAUAAAAGACACAUUAAAAUGUGUGAUGGACACUCGGUUAUAUUAUGUAAUUAAUCCAGAUUAAACAGAUUCAUUGAUUGACAGCUGUACAAUAACAAUGGGUUUUUACUUCUUUAGAGCUUAUUUUCAGAGAUUCUUUGUGAAGUCUUCACCUUGGGCCUGAAGGAAGUGGUCCAUAACAGACAUGAUGUCAUGGCAACCACUGCACUCCUUCAUCUUGAGGAACUUUCAGGUGCUCUCCACCAUGCUUGAACUCAGCAGCAACCUGGUUCUUUACCACCACGCUCUGCUGGUGUCACCACCACCUCCUUCUGUCAGACUGAGCUUUCUUCUGAUCGAACCCAGCAACCCUCCUCCACCCCAAGCACCACCAGAUCCACGCCAGUUCAGGCCUCGUAUCUCCUGCCCUCCAGCUCUCCACCACCACCAGGUCUAGACCCCGGGGGGUCUAGACUCUAGCGCUUUCCCCCUCUUUUCGGAUGUGGUCUUCACGAUGGGGUCUAGGACGCCGAUGCACA
rnacentral:lncRNA from 1 species